GUUCACGGUAGCUCAGUCGGUAGAGCGCUCGCUCCGUGAUCGGGAGGUCGUGAGUUCGAAUCUCGCCCGCGACU